ensembl:lncRNA
UUGCAACUCUUACAUUUUUCACUUUAAAUUUUAAUCAGAAAAUAUCGAAGAAUCAAUAGCUAAACUUUGAAAGGUUCCGAAAGCAAACCUGAUUAUAAGUUAGUGAAUUAAUGAUUUAAUAUGUUACUGAAUAAUCAAUAAUUGCUAUCAGAUGUUCUGAAUCGCUCUUACUAAAUAUGUUUUGGGAAUUUUGUGAUUACAUGAUGAAGUUUCAGGCAGGCAUGCUGAACUGAAGAAGACAUCAGCAGUGUCACAGACAGUGGAUUGAGUGCAGCCUCAGCAGGUUUUGCAGAUGACACCAAGCUGAGUUGUGUGGGUGACACUCCUGAAGGAUGGGAUGCCAUCCAGAGGGACCUGGACAAGCCCAAGCAGUGGCCCAUGGGAAUCUCAUGAGGUUUAACAGAUCAAGUCCAAGCUGCUGCAGCUGGGACAGGACAACCCUUGGUACCAAUCCAGGCUGGACAUGAGCAGCCCCAGAGCAGCCCUGGGAGAAGGACUUGGGGGUGCUGGUGAUGAGAGGCUGGACAUGGCCCGGCCGUGUGCGCUGGGAGCCCAGGAACCCCCCGUGUGCUGGGCUGCAUCCAGAGCCCCGUGGGCAGCAGGGCAGGGAGGGGAUUCUGCCCCUCUGCCCCUCUCUGCUCAGACCCCACCUGCAGGGCUGCAUCCAGCCCUGGGCUCCCAGCACAGGAAGGACAGGGAGCUGCUGGAGCCGGCCCAGAGGAGACACCAAGGUGAUCAGAGGGAUGGAACAGCUCUGCUGUGAGGAAAGGCUGAGAGAAUUGGGGCUGUUCAGCCUGGAAGAAAGAAGGCUUUGGGGUGACUGAAUUGCAGCCUUCCAGCACCUGAAGAGAGCCCACAGGAAAGAUGGAGAGAGACUAUUUACAGGGCCCUGGGGUGACAGGACAAGGGGGAAUGGGUUCAAACUGACAGAGAGUAGGUUUAGGUCAGAUAUUAGGCAGAAAUUCCUUACUGUGAGGUUCGUGAGGCAUUGGCACAGGAAAAGCUGUGGCUGCCCUGUCCCUGUGAGUGUUCAAGGCCAGUUUGGAUGGGGCUCUGAGCAACCUGGUCUAGUGGAAAGUGCCCCUGCCCAUGGCAGGUCCCUUGGAACUCAAACCCUUCUAAGGUUCUAUGAUUCCCUGAUUUUCAGAAGCCCCUAUUCUGAUGUCACAAGGAUCUGUGCUCCAACAGUGGAUUUGCCACCUCAGUUGAGCCAUGGCUGCCUCCAAGCUGACCCAUGUCCUAGGUUAUCUGUCCAGCUCUGGGUGGGAGCUCAUGGCUUUUCACCUUCUGUGCACAAAGGCGGUGUCUGGCAGCUUGGAGUGAGGAGCAGGAUUGCUUUGGCCCAGCGAGGGCAGCACUGGAAACCUGUGUGUGCAUCCAAUAAUGCAAUGGCUGGAAGACAAGGAAGUGGCAGAGUAGCUGGGUGGAUGCAGUGGAUAUUGGCAAUAAUUCUGAUGCUGUGGGGUCACCAGAUCAGUGGACAAGGACAAGUUUUUCUGUGAGUUAAGAGACCAUUGUCUCAUUGCAGCCUCCCAUCUCAUUGCUGGGCUCUCCUAAUGAAACCAGAAUUUCUGCAGGAGCCCAGGAUAUGACUAACAAGAGAUUCACCGUGCAAUAAGAUUCCCAGAUUCUGAGUUCUGGGCAUCUCUUCAAGGACUCUCUUGACAGCUGUAAAGUUCUUUAAAUAAAUAUUGACAUGC